AGUAGACUCGUCCGAUUUUGCGUA
rnacentral:miRNA from 1 species